GACGAACGCUGGCGGCGUGCUUAACACAUGCAAGUCGAGCGGUAAGGCCCUUUCGGGGGUACGACGAGCGGCGAACGGGUGAGUAACACGUGGGUGACCUGCCCUCAGCUCUGGGAGUAAGCCUGGGAAACGUAGGGUCGUAAUACUGGAUAUGACUCCACGGUGCAUGUCGUGGGGUGGAAAGCCUUGUGCGGCUGAGGAUGGGCCCGCGGCCUAUCAGCUUGUUGGUGGGGUGAUGGCCUACCAAGGCGACGACGGGUAGCCGGCCUGAGAGGGCGACCGGCCACACUGGGACUGAGACACGGCCCAGACUCCUACGGGAGGGCAGCAGUGGGGAAUCUUGCGCAAUGGGCGAAAGCCUGACGCAGCGACGCCGCGUGAGGGAUGACGGCCU
rnacentral:rRNA from 1 species